GAUGAACGCUAGCGGCAGGCUUAAUACAUGCAAGUCGAGGGACAGCACAGGUAGCAAUACUGGGUGGUAACCGGCAAACGGGUGCGGAACACGUACACAACCUUCCUUUAAGUGGGGGAUAGCCCAGGGAAAUUUGGAUUAAUACCCCGUAAUAUAGUUGAAUGGCAUCAUUUGAUUAUUAUAGCUACGGCGCUUAAUGAUGGGUGUGCGGCUGAUUAGAUAGUUGGCGGGAUAACGGCCCACCAAGUCUACGAUCAGUAGCUGAUGUGAGGGCAGGAUCAGCCAAACGGGCACUGAGACACGGGCCCGACUCCUACGGGAGGCAGCAGUAAGGAAUAUUGGUCAAUGGACGCAAGUCUGAACCAGCCAUGCCGCGUGAAGGAUUAAGGUCCUCUGGAUUGUAAACUUCUUUUAUUUGGGACGAAAAAGGGCCUUUCUAGGUCAACUGACGGUACCAGAUGAAUAAGCACCGGCUAACUCCGUGCCAGCAGCCGCAGUAAUAC
rnacentral:rRNA from 1 species